GAUGAACGCUAGCGGCAGGCUUAACACAUGCAAGUCGAGGGGUAGAGUUAGCUUGCUAACUUGAGACCGGCGCACGGGUGCGUAACGCGUAUGCAAUCUACCUUGUCCAGAGGGAUAGCCCUGAGAAAUUUGGAUUAAUACCUCAUAGUAUCUUCGGAAGGCAUCUUCUGAUUAUUAAAGUUCCAACGGUACAAGAUGAGCAUGCAUCCCAUUAGCUAGAGGGUAAGGUAACGGCUUACCAGGGCAACGAUGGGUAGGGGUCCUGAGAGGGAGGUUCCCCACACGGGUACUGAGACACGGACCAGACUCCUACGGGAGGCAGCAGACGGGAAUAUGGGUCAAUGGAUGCAAGCCUGAACCAGCCAUGCUGCGUGUAGGAAGACGGUCCUAUGGAUUGUAAACUGCUUUUAUACAGGAAGAAACACUGCUACGUGUAGCAGCUUGACGGUACCGUAAGAAUAAGCAUCGGCUAACUCCGUGCCAGCCGCCGCAGUAAAAC
rnacentral:rRNA from 1 species